rnacentral:rRNA from 1 species
GACGAACGCUGGCGGCGUGCUUAACACAUGCAAGUCGAACGGUGAUCUUGGGAGCUUGCUCUUGGGUGAUCAGUGGCGAACGGGUGAGUAACACGUGAGUAACCUGCCCCUGACUCUGGAAUAACUUCGGGAAACCGAAGCUAAUACCGGAUACGACACAGAGCUGCAUGGCUAAUGUGUGGAAAGUUUUUCGGUUGGGGAUGGACUCGCGGCCUAUCAGAUUGUUGGUGAGGUAAUGGCUCACCAAGGCGACGACGGGUAGCCGGCCUGAGAGGGCGAUCGGCCACACUGGGACUGAGACACGGCCCAGACUCCUACGGGAGGCAGCAGUGGGGAAUAUUGCACAAUGGGCGAAAGCCUGAUGCAGCGACGCCGCGUGAGGGAUGAAGGCCUUCGGGUUGUAAACCUCUUUCAGUAGGGAAGAAGCGCAAGUGACGGUACCUACAGAAGAAGCACCGGCUAACUACGUGCCAGCAGCCGCGGUAAGAC